CGGCGGUAAUUCCAGCUCGAAUAGCAUAUAUUAAAUUUGUUGCAGUUAAAAAGCUCGUAGUUGGAUGAAAAAUAUUACAGAAUAGAGUAUUCACACAGUAAAGUGAGACAAGACAGUGUGUGAUUGUGUGUGCACUCUCGCAUAUGCAUAAUAACAUAUGCGCGGGUUGCACAAAGUGCACUCUCGCGCAGUGUGUUGUUUCAUGUGAGAAUUAGUGUCUAUUUUGUAUAUAUUAUCCUUAUCAAGAUUUCAUUUUCUAUCUUAAGUGAUAGAGAGAAUGUCAUAUAUCUGUGUCUCACACUGUGUGCGCCAUAGAGCGCUCAUAGCGGGAGAGGAGAGAGUGACAGAGGACACACUGUGUGGGGAUUGUGUUCCUGUGUAGAGAGUUAUUACACUUUCUCAUUCAGGGGAGACACACAGUGUGUUAUAGAAAGUUGAUACAAUUACUUUGAGUAAAUUAGAGUGUUCAAAGCAAGCAGAAGAGUUUUUUUUUUUUUUAUUAUUAAUAAUUUAUGCAAUGAAUACUAUUAGCAUGGGAUAAUGGAAUAGGACAUGUGUUCAGAAUAUUUUAUGUUGGUUGGUUUUUAUAUGGACAGAGAGUGGUGGACUCUGGCUCUGGCGCUGUGGCGUCGCACAGAGAGACAAGAGAGGGGCGGCGCAUUGUGUUGUAUGAUACUCUGUCAGUGUGUCUAACUCUCACAGUCUGGCUCUGGCGCGCUGUGGCGUGGCUGUGGCGCGGAGAGUUUUAGAGGGUGACUACUCUGUAUGUGUAAUGAUUAAAAGGAGCAGUUGAGGGUAUUUGUAUUGUGUAGUGAGAGGUGAAAUUCUUGGACCUAUGGACGACAAACUUAUGCGAAAGCAUUUGUCAAAGAUGUUUUCAUUAAUCAAGAACGAAAGUUAGGGGAUCGAAGACGAUCAGAUACCGUCGUAGUCUUAACCAUAAACGAUGCCGACCAGGGAUUGGAAGAGGAAAUUAUCCUAUACAUUGCAGAGAUUGUGUGAUAAUUGGGAAACGGUUACUACUACUCUUUUUUAGUGACUGUGACACCCGGUUGUGCACACAGACUCUGUAAUAAAUAUAUAAAUAGGAGAACUGUUUCAGUACCUUUGAGAGAAAUCAUUGAGUGUUUGGGUUGUGGGGGGAGUAUGGUCGCAAGGCUGAAACUUAAAGGAAUUGACGGAAGGGCACCACCAGGAGUGGAGCGUGCGGCUUAAUUUGACUCAACACGGGGAAACUCACCAGGUCCAGACACAGUUAGGAUUGACAGAUUGAGAGCUCUUUCUUGAUUCUGUGGGUGGUGGUGCAUGGCCGUUCUUAGUUGGUGGAGUGAUUUGUCUGGUUAAUUCCGAUAACGAACGAGACCUCAGCAUAUUAAUUAGGGAUGCAAAUGAAUACAUAUGCGCCGCGGUGCGGCCUGUUGCCUCUUCUGAGACCGUGCGCUUACAGGGGUUUUAAUAGAAUCACUGUGAGGGGUGGAGGGGGGGGGGGCGGGGCGGUUGUGGAGUAUAUAUGUAUCUGUAUAACCUGUGUCUAUAUGGUACAGGGAGAGAUAGAUUAGGGUAUUUAUUAGUGAGCGCUGGUGUAGCAGUCACUCUCACCCCGUGCAUCGAUAGAGAGAUAUGAUUUUGUAUGGGAGAUAGUGUGUGUAUUUUGACUCAGACACUGACUCCAUGUAAGUACAUAUAUUGAGAUGCUUUUGUGUAAGUUGGUGUGUACGGGGUGGUGUGAGAGUAUAUAACAGUGUGUAAUGUCUUCUUAGAUGGACACAUGGUGUUGAAGCUAUGGGAAGCAUGAGGCAAUAACAGGUCUGUGAUGCCCUUUAGAUGUUCUGGGCUGCACGCGCGCUACACUGAUACAAACAAGGAGGAUUUACAAAGUAAAAACUCUUUAAUAUAGUAAAGAGAUAUUUUGUUGAUUGGGUUUGAAAGGAUUAUGGAAACUUAGGAAGUUGUAUCGUGAUGGGGAUCGAUGAUUGAAAUUAUUUAUCGUGAACGAGGAAUUCCUAGUAAGCGCAAGUCAACAGCUUGUGCUGAUUACGUCCCUGCCCUUUGUACACACCGCCCGUCGCUCCUACCGAUGUUUGGUCCGGUAAAAUUUUAGGAUUUGCAUUGUGGUGUUAAAUGUGUGAGGCUCUUCGUGAAGGGGUGCACACUUCUGUCA
rnacentral:rRNA from 1 species